ACGGCGAAGUCCAGCCGACAACGAGCAAGUUGUUUCCGAGACUCUAAACCGGUGAACGGAUUGUUCGAGUCACGAGUCAAUGAAGGAAGAGGCCAUAGCCAUGGAAGACAUGGACAGGACGCACUCACGUCGUGCAGCUACACCAGAGGGCCGUGCUGCUUCAGUUCCAUGCAAAAUGCAUCUGGUGGGGCUGAACGUUGAAAGAAAAGGAAGUGACAGAGCAGCUCAAGGAAGAUAGAUAAUAAAGACAUUACCAAAAAAAGAUAGAUAAUAAAGAGAGUGGGUAUCUGCUGAUUUCGACGGCGACAAUGGCGGCGUUAACGACGACUAGAUUUCACCGGCAAGUGUGGUCGGACUGUCGGAGAAUAACCAUUGACCACCGGGAAAUCUGAGGGGAUUGGUUUUUUUUUUCCAAAAACAUAAAUGGAGAUGCGGGGUAUCGAUCCCCGUACCUCUCGCAUGCUAAGCGAGCGCUCUACCAUCUGAGCUACAUCCCCAUGGCCGUACUAUGUAGUUCUAUUAAAAUAAUAACAAAAACAAAAAAGCUGCCCAGUAAACCAGAAGUGAAGGCUUAACUCGGACCGAGGGGAGUAAUCGGAAACGCCCAUGAAGUGUUUGGCGAAAUGUCUCACUGAAAGUUUUGUCAUUUCCCUUUGAGAUGUCAAAGUAGUAUCACUAAGUAGCCUUGUUUCCAUGUUUUCUGUUUCUUCUCGUAUGAUCUUUCUGAGUUCAUGGGUUAAUGGGCAUUUUGCAUGGAGGGAGCAUAUCGCCAUUGUCGGAUCUUGGAGUUCAUACAUACCGGUAUUUCAUUCAUCGCUCCAAUCUCUGUUGUGAUUAGCAAAGAUGGUGCUUCAACUGGCAUGUGAACUUCAACAGCUAUUUGGUUCCUCUGGAUUUCGAACUCUUCAGUAGUGUGUCAUAUCGUUUGAUGCUUCGACUAAUUUGACCGUUAAUUCUUCCUUAAGAAUCAGAGGUUCUGUAUUCAUCAGCUGACCAUUAUAUAGUGAUUUCGUCAAGCCCGCAAAGAUUUCAUCAAGGGACGACGCCUUAGGCAGAAACAUUGCAAGCGAUUUCGGAUUCAAACUGUAAGCAUCUACUUCACCAACCAGAUCAUGCUCAAUACGACCUUACAUUAAUUAAGGAUAUGCCUAAUUUACGAACCCUUCUUCUGAGUUCCACUCCUCCAUGAAGUGCUGAGCU